GACGAACCGUGCGAACGUUAUUCGGAAUCACUGGGCUUAAAGCGCGUGUAGGCGGGCCGGCACGUCGGUACCUGAAAGCCCCCGGCUCAACCGGGGAAUGGGGGCCGAUACGACCGGCCUGGAGGGACGUAGGGGGACCUGGAACUUCCGGUGGAGCGGUGAAAUGCGUUGAGAUCGGAAGGAACGCCCGUGGCGAAAGCGAGGUCCUGGACGUCUGCUGACGCUGAGACGCGAAAGCCAGGGGAGCGAACGGG
rnacentral:rRNA from 1 species